rnacentral:lncRNA from 1 species
UCCUUAAACGCCACCCGGGUCCCUCCGAACACUUGUAUCGGAGUGUAUUCGCGACGUGAAGCAAUUGUCCCUAUCCAACAAUCAAUCUAAGUCCUAAUUAGAUACAAAUGUGUAUCUUUACAUUAUAAUUAGGAACCUCGUGUAUUUACAAGCCCCGGAUCAACUCUUAGCAUCCAAAUCGUCAUACUUCUCGUCCGGUGAGUUCAUACCCCUACGCCUUUUUCACUGUUUUUAACUGUUUUCAGGGGGGGAAUACAAGCAAACCAAAACUGUUUUCAAAUCAUAACAUUUAUGUGUUUCAAAUAAUAUCUGGCAAUCUUAUAAACUCUUUUACUCCUUAUGUAUUAUGUUGAGCAUAAGGAAUGAUUUGUCAAUUACAACUAAAUGGAUUUUAGUUAAGAAAAUAACCAAACUAAUCAAAUUAUUAUGGGAAUAAUUUGGGGUUCUAUGUUUCUCUUUAUAUCAUGUACUGAUAUCUGUAUUAAGUUAUUAGAUAAACUAUGUCUGAUUCAGUUUAUCUCCGUAUCAUUCGAAUGUUUUGCCAGAUAGUCUCAUUGUAUGUAUCUAUUUUUCACUGUAUCAUGUCUUAAAGUCUUUGUAUGUUUGUUAUCGUAUGAGAAUCCUGUGAAUAGUUUAAUACUAGCUUGUGAGAUAGUCACUACCCUUUAUGGAUGAUCAAGUAAAUCCUCUCCGGAAGUGUAACCAGAGUCUCCUGGAGGGAGAGCGAAGAGUUUGUGAAUAGAUCUAUUCGGGACUGACAAUCCCACACCUUAACUGCUAGCUACAGUUAGGCGGGCACGCCUGGGGUGACAAAUUCUGGAUAUCAUUCGACGUCUGACUAACGUCAAGGAGGUCUCGUUGUCAUAUCAGCAUGGUUACCCGACUCACAAUACGUAUUAAUAUAAACUUAUUCACAGCUAGGAUUUGUUUAGAAUCUAUAUCUUGUUCGGGAUGGUAAUCCCAUGGUCUUGUAAUCUAUAUCUCGUUCGGGAUGGUAAUCCCAUGGUUUUAUGUCUAUACCUCGUUCGGGAUGAUAAUCCCAUGAUCUUGUGUCUAUAUUUCGUUCGGGAUGGCAAUCCCAUGGUUUUGAAACUAAAUCUUAUACGGGAUGAUAAUCCCAUGAUUUUAUCAAGCUAUCUUAUAUCUAGUUUCGGGAUAGUGAUCCCAUGGUUUAUCAAACUAUUUAUAUCUACUUUCGGGAUAGUGAUCCCAUGGUUUUUAUCGAAUUAUCUUAUAACUGGUUCGGGAUGUUAGUCCCAAGGUUUUCAAAAUACUUUCUAUUUACAGUUCGUCUAAAUUAUAGUUUUGUAUAUUAAACUAUACUAUGUGUUAUUCAAUCAAUCUUACAUUUAGGAAAAUAUGGGAUUUUCCUGGGGUUAACUUAUAUCUUGUAACAGAACUGUAACGAAAGAUAACUUAACUACUUUACAUAAGAAAAUAUGGGAUUUUCUUGGAUAUCAAAUCUUUUCAGAAAACUAAAGGAAAUCGAUACAUUUUCACAAAACAAAACCGCUUAUGAACUCACCAGCUUUAUGCUGAUUUUCAAACUGCUUGUAUUCUCAGGUCCAAGUUAGACAGGUACCCGGCGAUAUCUUUUGGUGAAGACGGAGUGCUCCGAAGACUCGUCUCUUUUGUUCAUAUGAUAUAUGUAUAACUUUUGUACAAUUUACUUUUGAACCAAAUGUAAACUUUCAUAUAUAUGUAAUGUAAUGGUUGUUUACUGUGAUUACUAUGUACAUUGGAUUUGAUACACAACAUGGAGUCAACCCCGGGAACGUUUCCGCCUUUGGUUUUCGGGGUGUGACAGAUUGGUAUCAGAGCCCUUGUUUAUAGUGAACAGAGUAUACCAAACCUUACAUGGUAUAAAACUAUAAACAUUAAGGGGCCUAAGUGCUCUGAACUAAAAGUAUCUUACAAUAUAUAAGUAUUUUCAAAAGUAUUUAAGUAUGCCGAGCCGUCGAAAUCCGUAACUAUAAGUAGAACAAAAGAUAAGUAAAUGGGUGUUGUACACUACGGUUAAACCUGGGUAGUUAUGUAGUCGUGUCUAGGGUCAAUAUAGCCUGGCCAACUAUAUUCAUUCGAGACACGGCCAACAUGUGCUUGGGAGUGACUGUGGCAUGCGGCAUACCUAAAACUUACCCAAUAUCCCAAACAACGAAUCGUCGCUGCAGCGAACCAUGAAAUACUAUGGCAGUAUUUCUCGAGCCGAUCCUUUGUAAAAAAAUUCUCGUAUACGUGUUAUCCCUUGAUCAUUCCGCUAGCGAUAAAAUGUUCUAUCUUUAUAACUCCUUUCUGCUUUAUCGCUUUGUAUGAUGCUAUAUUUUUCCAUGAUGAGAUAUCUCCUGUCCCAUAUCUCUUGAUUCAAUUCAGAGGACUUAUGAUCCUCUUUUUCCUGAUCUUGUUACAUCACGAUGCCUCCAAGAAAGAGACCCAGCUCAACGAACAACAACAAUCCUCCUUUUCAACUUGAUCUUGCAUCACUUCAGACAGUUCUGACUGCUGCAAUGGUAGCAGCCAUGUCGCAAAUGAACUCUAGAAAUUCAGGAGGUGAUCCCCAACCCCAAAACCCAGAAGAUAGCCAGGGACACCAAAAAGGGGGUUCCUAUAAGGACUUCAUGAACGCAAAACCGACAUUCUUCGAUGGCACAGGGGGUGUCAUUGCUUUAACCCGAUGGUUCGAGAGAAUCGAAUCAAUCUUUGAAAUAUGUGGCUGUUCGGAGUCUGAUAGAGUCAAGUUUGCCGCCUGUACCUUCCUAGACAAAGCCCUGACUUGGUGGAAUGGCCGAGUCAAAUCCUUAACUUUACCUGUAGCCAAUGCUAUGGGUUGGGAAGCUAUGAAGGAGCUUCUUCUCGCAGAGUAUUGCCCUCGGGGCGAACUUCAGAAGCUAGAACAUGAACUAUGGAACCUUAAGAUGAAGGGUUCUGACAUAGCUGCUUAUACCUCAAGAUUCGACGAUCUGGCCCUACUUUGUCCGGGGAUGGUUACCCCGGAGAGUAAAAAGAUAGAGAGGUUCAUCUGGGGAUUGACCCAGCCAACAAAAGGGAAUGUCUUGGCUGCGAAGCCAGACACUUAUGACAGUGCCAAGUGCCUUGCGAAAAUCCUGAUAGAUCACGAAGACAACUCUGAUGAAGAAGCUACUACCCCCGAGCCAGUCACUAGUGGAGGCGGAAGUAAAAGGAAAUCCUGGAACAAGCGUAAGGCCCAGAGUACGCAAGGGUCUUCUAAGAAACAGCAAACGGUAGCAGUCCAUGCUGCUACUGCCCCUGUUGCUGUUUCAGCUGUAGGUUCCACAGCCCAAACUCCCGCCAGUGGAUACACUGGUACCCUUCCUUGGUGUGGUAAGUGUAACUACCACCACCGCAUUCCUGGACCAUGUCGCGAAAGGAUCUGCGACAACUGUGGCAAUAAGGGCCAUCUUGCGCGAACCUGCAGAAAACCAGCCAAGCCAACGAACCAAUCAUCCGGAGCGGGAAUCAGUCCGGCCUGCUACAAUUGUGGUGAAGCUGGGCACUUCAAAAGGAAUUGUCCCAAGACAGCUACAACCACAAAUCCCUCUGCUGCCGCAGGUAUAUCUCUCUUUGAUAAUUCUUAUACUUGCAACUCUUUUCGAUUUUGGGUGCAAAAAGGAAAACCUGUUAUCUAUCUAUUCGAACAUAUUCUAAACUCAAUCCUUCGUAUGUAAUCGAAAUGUAUACCGUCGAGACGACUAACUAGUGAGAUAGAGAACACUAACUUCGUAUCUAUAGAUUGAAUCCUCGGUCCGGAGGACUAUUCUAUUCCAUUCGAUUUAUAAAGGGGGAAACUUUCCAUGAAAAUACUUUGAUGCCAUGUUUAACCAGAAAUGACCGAGUUUUCGUUCGCGUUGUUAUCUUUACUUUCGAAAGGGCCGCUCGUUAGAUCUUUUUCUCGACCCGAUUCUCGUGAUCUUCGGCAUCAAACUUUCGUAUCAUUCUAUGCCUUAGAACUCAAAAGUUUUCCCAAUGUGAAUUACCACGCAUCCCUCGUUUCUGUGAUUAUUGAGAAACGGGAAGUUAGCAACUAUUCCCUCUAAAUGUCUAUCCCGAAGGAUUCCCGGGAGUUUCUUUCGAGCAUCUAGUUUAGUCUCACAUCAGACCUUUCGAGAUCUUCGUAGAGAUCGAUUCAGCAACCUUCAAGUUUCGGAUGCCCUUAGAGCUUGGUAAUAUCUAUCUAGACCAUCACGUCUCGAAUCCUUAGAAGCGUCUGCCCAACGAAACCCUAGUGAUUCCUUGAAGAAACCGAAGUCGUUCAGGGUUGGAACUUCCACGAGAAAGCAGAUUGAUAUCGUAGAUUGAGAGAGAGUCAAGAAGCGAAACCAAGACAUGUCCCGAUAAUGAGAAUUCGUUAGAACGCCCAGUAGAGACCUGAUUCCACUUGAGAAAGUGAAGAUCCGAAGCAACAAAUCCAUUCGUAUCUCAUUCCAAUCCAUGACCUGUAUCUUAUUCUUUGAAUUUCGGGACGAAAUUCCCUCUAACGGGGGGAUAAUGUAACAACCCGAAGUUGUUCAUCGCCGAAAACCCGUUCUACCCGUAUAACUCGUCGGAAAUCGAAAUGUCCCGUUAUCGUUUUUGGGCUUAGUUAACUAAAAUUUAAUAUUUAUUUUCAUUCAAUGAGGGUCCAAAUCAUUUAGGAACUCAUGAAUUUAGCCCAAAACAUUUAUUUCAUAAGUUUUAGAAAUAUCCUCGUCGGGUGACGGAAACUCAAUCGGGUGCGACCCAAAGCAUCGUUUAAGGCCGGUAUCGGGUAGAAUUCCACCGUGUCCAAGUUUUAGGAACUAUAUAAACAUGUUUAACCACUCAUUUGAAGCUUUUUCCUUCUCUCUCUACUCUCUCUCUAACCUCUCUCCUAAAUCCAAAGAUUAAGUGUCCAAAACUCAAAUUUAAGGCUUCAAAUCCUUAAGGUACCUUCCUAGCCUUAAUCUAUAGCAUGUUUAGCUUCCAAAUUAGACACUUAAUCAUGAAAUUGGACAAUAUAUGUGAGUUUACGGCCCAGGAGGCUGCCUAGGCCGUAAACACCAUUUUGAAGGGUUUUUAGCCCUUAAACUCCUUCCUAAACUCAAUUGGACUUUAGAUAUGGCUAAGGGACUUCAAGAUAUGGACUUAGAACAUUUAAAACUUUGAUUUUGAGUCAUUUGAAGGAGUUUACGGCCAAGGCAUAAGCUUGGGCCGUAAACUCAUGUAAAUGGGGUUUUUCAUGCCCUUAAACCCUUCCAAAUCACUUCUAUGGCUUAGAUAUGAAUUAUAGGACCUUGGUUUUAGCAUUUGGACACUUGAAACAUGAAUUUUGGGGGAUUUAGAUGAGUUUACGGCCAAGGAUAGUGCUUGGGCCGUAAACUCCCCAAAACUUGGCAUAAAUCCAAUUCUAAGGUGUUAGAAAGCCAUCCAACACCACCAAAAGCCUUGGAAUAAAUCAAGGGACCAACCAAAAAUACUUUAAGGGCCUUAAACACAUCAUUCAUGGGAUUUCUAAGAGUUUACGGCCAAGACCUGUUCUUGGGCCGUAAACUCCAAAAUUUUUGGUGUUAGAAUGCAAACUAAACACCCCUAAGGCCCUUAGAUGAAUUUUAGAAGUCCUUUCAUGCAAGUUUUAGACCUUGAAACACCUUGUAGCACCAUAUAUUAGAGUUUACGGCCAUGAAGGGGGUUUCAUGGGCCGUAAACUCCAUAAAUCCCUCAUAUGUCACUUGCAAACUCAUUUCUAGGCUUGUGGGAAUUUUUAGAAUCACAUGUGAUUGAUUUUAACAACUUAAAAACACUAAAUCUUGGAGAAUUGAGAGUUUACGGCCAAAGAACCCAUGCCUAGGCCGUAAACUCCCUUAUGUGUUGUAAAUGAUGUUUUUAAAUUAAUCCAAGCCUUAAGAAAAAUUAAUCCAAGCAUUUCCAAGUGUCCAUAUCCAUUUAUAACCCAAAUUUGCACCCUAAACCACCCUACCAUGAGUUUACGGCCGUAAACUCAUGGGGAAUGGGUGUUUUGGACCUAAAACUCUUGUAUAAGUUUACUCAUGGGGAGUAAACUCAAGUCCCAAGUCCCUAGUGUCAUUUCACAUCCUUAAACGCCACCCGGGUCCCUCCAAACACUCGUAUCGGAGUGUUUUCGCGACUAGAAGCAAUUGUCCCUAUCCAACAAUCAAUCUAAGUCCUAAUUAGAUACAAAUGUGUAUCUUUACAUUAUAAUUAGGAACCUCGUGUAUUUACAAGCCCCGGAUCCACUCUUAGCAUCCAAAUCGUCAUACUUCUCGUCCGGUGAGUUCAUACCCCUACGCCUUUUUCACUGUUUUUAACUGUUUUCAGGGGGGGAAUACAAGCAAACCAAAACUGUUUUCAAAUCAUAACAUUUAUGUGUUUCAAAUAAUAUCUGGCAAUCUUAUAAACUCUUUUACUCCUUAUGUAUUAUGUUGAGCAUAAGGAAUGAUUUAUCAAUUACAACUAAAU